GACGAACUGCCCAAACGUUGUUCGGAAUCACUGGGCUUAAAGGGCGCGUAGGCGGCGAUACAAGUCAGGGGUGAAAUCCGGCAGCUCAACUGUCGAAGUGCCUUUGAUACUGUAUCGCUCGAGGGAGGUAGGGGUCUGUGGAACUUCUGGUGGAGCGGUGAAAUGCGUUGAUAUCAGAAGGAACGCCGGUGGCGAAAGCGACGGACUGGACCUUUUCUGACGCUGAGGCGCGAAAGCUAGGGGAGCAAACGGGAUUAGAUACCCCGGUAGUCCUAGCCCUAAACGAUGAGUACUAGAUAGUAGACUAAUCAUGGGUUUACUGUCGAAGCAAAAGUGUUAAGUACUCCGCCUGGGGAGUAUGGUCGCAAGGCUGAA
rnacentral:rRNA from 1 species